CCUACGGGAGGCAGCAGUGAGGAAUAUUGCACAAUGCGGGAAACCCUGAUGCAGCGACGCCGCGUGAAGGAAGAAGUAUUUCGGUAUGUAAACUUCUAUCAGCAGGGAAGAAAAUGACGAUACCUGACUAAGAAGCCCCGGCUAACUACGUGCCAGCAGCCGCGGUAAUACGUAGGGGGCGAGCGUUAUCCGGAGUUACUGGGUGUAAAGUGAGCGUAGGCGGCGAUGCAAGUCAGAAGUGAAAGCCCAGGGCUCAACUCCGGGACUGCUUGUGAAACUGUAUGGCUAGAUUGCAGGAGAGGAAAGCAGAAUUCCUAGUGUAGCGGUGAAAUGCGUAGAUAUUAGGAGGAACACCAGUGGCGAAGGCGGCUUGCUGGACUGUAAAUGACGCUGAGGCGCGAAAGCGUGGGGAGCAAACAGGAUUAGAUACCCCAGUAGUC
rnacentral:rRNA from 1 species